UACAGAGGUCUCAAGCGUUGUUCGGAUUCAUUGGGCGUAAAGGGUGCGCAGGCUGCGAGGCAAGUCGGACGUGAAAUCUCGGGGCUUAACCCCGAACUGCGUUCGAUACUGCCUUGCUAGAGGACUGGAGAGGAGACUGGAAUUCCUGGUGUAGCAGUGAAAUGCGUAGAUAUCAGGGAGGAACGCCAAUGGCGAAGGCAAGUCUCUGGACAGUUCCUGACGCUCAUGCACGAAGGCCCAGGGGGAGCAAACGGGG
rnacentral:rRNA from 1 species